CUCUCUCUCUCUCUCUCUCUCUCUCUCUCUCUCUCUCUCUCUCUCUCUCUCUCUCAUGUGGAGAAACAGAUUAACUUGAGACAAUCUUUGCAUGCUGUGAUUGAGCAGAUUUAGCUUUUCAGAAGCAUGCCAAGUCAGUUAAUCUUUAGACACUUGUUCUGGAGAGAGAUUAUUGCAGAAUAUGCUUGCGCAUAUUUUGGAUUAGAAAUCCAAAAAAAGAUCAUCAGUAAGUAAUCUAUUAAGUUGCUGUUCAACCGUGCAAGCAGAGGCAGAUGCAGCCUUAUACACAAUGGGUUCAAAUGAUCCAAGACCUCUAGUGAGCACACAUGAGAUGCAUACCUCAUUAGUGCAUGAUUUAUUCUAUAGAUGGUUUUUUGAUUCAUAACAAAUGGGUUGAUUACUUUUUAGAAAUGAAAAGGGGAUCCUUUGUUAGUUAUUCUAUUCACAAUCGUAGCUGGGAGGGAAAUGCAAAUAUCCCAACCAAAUUUGAGCUAUAGCUGCUAGUCCUAUUUCUUUUGCUUCGUUCGCAGACUUCAUCAUGUUGGCGGCAUAGAACCCAGUACCAAUAACCAAUAGAGCACCAAGAGUCAUUUUCAUCAUUUUUCUUGGAUUCUUCAAGUUUGCAGCCAAACCACUAGCAUAUCUGGCUGUUUCAUCAUCAGUCGCAUCAUCUGAUGAUUACUCUCAGAUUCACUGUAAGAACUACUUUUAUCCGCUGGAGAUAUUUCUGGAAGACUUUUAGCUUCUUUUGCUGGCUCUUUAGCAGGGGUAUUAUUAUCCUGCUCGGUGAAUUCAUCUCUAAAAGGGUACCCAUUUAAGAUUUUGGUACACUAAUUUAAAAAUUUAUCCAGUAACAGUAAUCAUUAGGGACUUUUAAUUUUAUUACUCUUAUCUUUUCUUUAGACAAGUCAGUCAUGACUAUUGGCCUUCUUGGAGUAGUACGGGCGGAAUUGGGAAGAAUAGUUAAGCCUUCUUGUUUUCAAAAGUGACAAAUAUUUUGAGCCAAUUUUUUUUGUGACACUAAAGUGGCAAAUAAAAGCAUGGGAGGGAGUAAUAUUUUUCUUUCUUUUACGAGAUUCUAAUCUUCUUGGCUGGCCGUUGUUUGUGACAGAUUUAGACCCACGCUAAUCAAACUUCAAUGACAUCAUCAUCCAUUCAAUUAUCGACAUGGAUGUUGACGUGAUCACCAUCGCGACCUUCAGGUCAGGUGAGAAGUUUCUUUUUGUGUUCCGCGAGGGAGUGAAUUAUGGUGCUGGGAUUGCGCUGGCGUAUACGACAUCCAUUAGCCAAGGAUUCCAUUGACAGAACAAAUUGCUGACAGGAUCAGCAAGAUCCUUGCAGUCCUUGAUACCAACAUCCUCUGGGGUAACCCUGUCUAUAGCUUCUAGACGCACAAAUAUACUGAAGUUAAGCCUGCCCUCAACAACUUGGUUGCAGCUGCUAAGCUCUUCCGCGCACAGUUGGCCAGCACCAAGUGAGCUUGAUUUACCUACACGACAAUAUCUGACAUUUUGAAUGAUGAUGCUGUGCGCAGCAGAUGAUACUAUGUUAUGAUGCUGUGAAGCGGAAGACAAACCGUAUAUUUGGAGCCUUUGGUGAUUUUGGUAACUGGGGAAAAUAAAUCAAUUGCUGGAAUUAUUAGAGAAAGAGGUGUCAACCACUUUCAAAAGACAUUGAAGGAGAAGUCUUUCAUGGGGAUGCUUUACAGUCCAAGAAACAGGCAGAAGAAGCCAAGGUUGCUUAUAUGGCUUUAACAAAAUGCAAAUUCUUUUAUACCAGUGAUCAUUCAACUAUUUCCUCGGACUUGGCAGGUUAAAUUUUCAGAACUGAACCUUGCACGGAUUCAAUGUCCAUUUCUGCUAGUCAAUAAAAGUUCAGAGGUCAGUUUUCAUCAUGUAUUAGUUUCCGACUAAUGUGAUUGGCAUAUUAGUAAUGCUUCCGAUGCAAUCAAGUAUUCAUGCCUUUGGCAGAUGAAGAGGAGAUGGCUCACUCUAAACAUCUCUCUCCACAGUCCAUAAGUGCUGAAAAGGUUAAUGCAUCUCCAAUUUCACGGGGCGUGUAAGAGCUCAUUGUAAAUGAGAAAUCACAUUCUUCACCUGGAUCAUUGUGCCAUUUGCCUAGCUAAACAAUAUCAUCAGAUGCAAUGACACCAUCCAUUUCAUCUACUACCUCUAAUGCAAAUUUUAGUUCGACGAAGAUUGCAUAAACUAAAAGGUGCCUCCUUCUUGACAGGGUCAGAGUGUACAGGUCCGUUCCUGAUGAGGUCUUCCCCAUGGGUACUAUUGUGCUUCCUAUUAGUGAAGAUAAUAGUGGUCGACCAUAGAGUUUCUUUCGAGAUAACUGCAGAAGACGUAGUGAGGUGUGUGGAAAAGAAGCCAACAAUGUUGAUGAAAACUGGAUCGAUGUCUCUCCAGGAUGUAGAGCGUAACACUAAACGAGAGGCAAACCUGGCUGAAAUGUCAAAUGGACAGGAGUGCAACGGGAAUGAGCCAUCCAGCGAAAUACGUGAGGGAUCUUCUGCUGAUGGAGAGGAUUCACAGAGGCACCAGAAGCAAAGAUCGACCAUUCUUGGAUCCUCAAAGGAAUUCAACUUUGACAAUGUGGAUGGAGGAUAUCCUGAUAAAGCUACUAUUGGCUCUGAUUGGUGGGCCAACGAGAAGGUUCUCGUGAAGCAGGGUGGGUCAAGCAAUAACUGGAUCUUCCCUAUGAUGCAACCAGGUGUCAGUUACCUGGUUGCAUCGCUUUGGUAAGUCCACACCAUACUAAUAAGCUGCUGCUCAGCUGCCCUAUAUUUCGAUACAACCAGCAGCAAAUACCAGAACUCUUGAUAUCAAAAUGUACAAGGAUGAGGUGUUGAAGUGCAGCAGGACUGAUAUAGGAACCGAUGUGAAGGCUGUUUUUUGGGCACUUCCUGAAUUAAGGAAAAGAUGGAUAUGGUCGACCACUGUUAGAUCAACCCAUGGGUUGAUGUGUGCUUGGAGUUCCCCAAUGAGAAGUUUAGCUAAUUAUGUACAGUAGAGUCAUGUUACUUACGUUUAUAGUCCUCUUGAACACAGAGGCUAAACUGAAUCAAGGAUUAUUGUAGCAACCAUCUAUCUAAAGCAACUUCUAUUUUAUUUUCUGAAACAUAAAAAGUGUUUGUGGAAGUUAAGUGGUAUUACUAAUAUGAUCCUUCUGCCCCUUAA